CCCCCGCAGAACCCUUACGUCAGAGGCGUCUGGCUGCUUGGCAACCAGAUCAGAAGCCAACAACACAAGUAGAACAUAUCAUAUACGGGUCCCAUGGUUAUUUUAAUUUAUUUAUUCCCCCCCCCCGGGAGGUGAAGACCAUGCGUCGCUCAGCUGCCAAAUCACGGGGCGAUAAAAGCCGCACUGAUUCUGUCCCAGGUAAUGCUGCUUCGGUCCAGCCUGUUGAGACCGUGGACAUUGUCCCAGGCCGCCUUACAGAGUCCACCUGGACCAGCAUGCUCUCCCAGGAGGAGGGUGAGGAGGUGGUGGUGGAUAUCAUAGCAGAACUGAUGGAAGAAGUGAUGGACAGAUGCUAUCAGGUGUAUCUGCAAAGACAGUUGAUACCCUUCUCUGUGUGGUGGGCACAAAAUAACCUGGUGGAGACGCUAGAAUGUCUGAUCCUGAGGAGAGAUGAAGGGGAUGAUUCAGAACAUGAACUCUUUUGGCAAGAGGAUCAAGAGCCCCAGCCCUGUGCGAUUGAUUCUUGGGCUGAAGGAUCUGUACCUGUGCUUCAUGCUGCUCUGGAAUAGCACAAGGUCUGACAUCCCAAACAGCCUGAAGUGAGAAGACUGGUGGACCGGACAGAGAACUACUCCACCUUCAACCUGCUACCGCUCAAUGCCAAUAGAGUGAUGAUACCGAAUUAUUCACGAAAACUAAAGAAAAUCUGACUUCCUUAAAACUCAGUCCAAACAUAAGCAAAGGAACUCAAAAGAAGCAAGUCUCUGAUCCUCUUACGGUAUAAUUGCCUCUAUUGCUUGCCAAGUUUAGUCCUAAUUCACUUAAGAACUAAAAAUAUAAUUUCACGGGUGUCUCAGCCUCAAAACACUGACUCAAACACAGUUUGGGCCUGAGGUGAGGAAACAGUGAUGCCAUGAGCUCCAAAAACUCAUGAACUGAUGUUGUAGCCCUUAGGCCACAGCUGGUAACAGACCAGAACAGAGUGAACCAAGGCUGAAAAAAAAAAAUCUUUAAAAAGUCAUCUUACCCUACUAUAAAAUAUGAAAAAAUAAAUUAAUAACAUGUACUGGAGCAUCCCUCUGCAAACAAUGUAAAGACAUUUCUUACUGCACUAUUUUGUAUUGAGUAAAUCAGUGCCUUGCCUGCAUUUUUCUGUGACUGUUGUGGCAGUAAUAAACAUUUAGACCUAAUUCAUCUUCGACAUCUGUCUUUUAUUCAUACCUGCAAUUCAAUGAAUAAUUUAAUGA